UUUGUACGUAUACAACAAUUUGCAGAAACACCAAAGCAACCUAUAAUAUUUCAACCCUUACUUCACCUGCUUAUCUUAAUAACUGUUUUUUAUGCAUUUGAAAACAAAUUGGGUAUGCUUAUAAACAAUUAUCAUAUACUCCUCAGUUCUUUUAUCAAAAUAAUAAAAAACUAUUUCCAUACAAUUUUUCUUAUCCAAACUUCAUUCAAUUUUUUUUGGAUCUUGGGUCACACUCUAGUUUCAUUAACCUUAAGCUCUCAGGUUUGGGUCUUACGUGAUCAUCCUGAAGACAAAAACUGUCCCGACUCCCGACCAGAAUGAACAACUUUACCCUGAAUCCCUAAGCCCCGUUGCUUUCCCCUUUCCGGCAGCUCACCGGCUGACCCACAAUCGCCGCUCCCCGGCCGGCCGGCCAUCCUUCAUUUUCUUCAUCCGACAUCCACGAAUUGAGUAAAUUUUGCGUAUGGGCAUUGGCUGAAAGGCAGUUUUAUACUGCUUUAAACUAUCUGUUUUAGGAGGAGGAAUCAAAGCUAAAGCUAGUGUUUGGAUCUUCUCAUUUAUCGAAAACAAUUCAUUCGCAACCGUCAAAACACAAUGCUGUUUGUGGCCAUAACAGGUUCUCCACUUCCAUUGUCUUCUACAAAUUUCUCCUUUUCAAAGUAUUAACAAGAAAAAGAAAAGGAAAAAAAGAAGCAAAUACUGGUAUUGAUUAGUAACAGAGGAAAGAGUGAUGCUAGGGGUAAACCCUUAUGUCCCUUCAAUGUCAAUGUUCAAGAAAAUCCCAUUUUCUUUUAUCUACCGUAAUUGUUUCCAUCGCAGUUUGCUUCCCUUUGGUAUGUGCUAUUAUCAUUUAUUUCUCAAACCUGUUAGUAUCUCGAAUGUUCAUGUAAAUUACUUUGCCGUGGAUAAAACAAGAAAUUUAUCUGCAGUUGCUACUGCUGCCAAAUCAACUGUUAAUACAUCUAAUAGUACCAAUGCAAUGUCCAAUAAAGCAAGGAAGAAAGCACAUAGAGAAUCACCUGAAAGUGUGCUUAAAUAUAAGCUUGAUAUGUGCUCUAAGCAUGGUAAACUUGUGGAAGCACUUCGUUUGUAUGAGGAAGGCAGGAGUAACGGGGUUACUCUAAAGCAGCACCAUUACAAUGUGCUGCUUUACUUGUGUGCUCGUGAAGCGAGUGGAGAUGGGGUCGAGUUGAAGGAGUUAGGGCUGAAGAGGGGUUUUGAGAUUUUCCAGAAAAUGGUUGGAGAUAAAGUUUCUCCUAAUGAGACUGCUUUUACAAGCAUGGCGAGGUUGGCAGUAGCAAGGGAAGACCUGGAUUUGGCUUUUGAAUUGGUGAAGCAGAUGAAGAGUCUUGGAAUUCCACCGAAACUCAGGUCAUAUGGGCCGGCUUUGUUUGGAUUCUGUGAGAAGGGGAAUGCAGAGAAAGGAUAUGAACUAGAUGCUCACAUGGCUGAAUCUGGGGUGACGCCUGAAGAGCCUGAGCUUUCUGCUCUUUUGAAAGUUAGUGCUGAUACAAAGAAUGCAGACAAAGUGUAUGACAUGUUGCAAAGGUUGCGAGCCACAGUGAGGCAGGUCUCAGAAUCAACGUUUCAAAUUAUUGAGGAUUGGUUUAAAUCGGAGGAUGCUGCAAAAGUAGGUGUUGAGAGUUGGGAUGUGAAUAAAAUAAAGAAAGGAGUUGUAGAUGGAGGAGGAGGGUGGCAUGGGCAAGGGUGGUUGGGAAGUGGGAGAUGGAGGGUGAUGAGGACUAAGAUGACCGAGAAUGGUGUGUGUCGUUGUUGUGGGGAGAAGCUUGUUAGUAUUGAUAUUGAUCCAAAAGAGACAGAAAAUUUUGCUACGAAAUUAACUGAAUUGGCAUGCAAUAGAGAGGUUAAAGCUGAUUUCAUUCGGUUCCAGGAGUGGUUGCAGCAGCAUGGACCAUUUGAUGCAGUUGUAGAUGGUGCAAAUGUGGGUCUCAUCAAAGCAGAUACUUUUAAUUUUAACCAGCUUAAUAAUGUUGUAAACCAAUUACGACAAAUGAGUCCAUCAAAAAGGUCCCCGCUAGUUAUUUUGCAUCAAGGUCGGGUAACUAAUGGUCCCGCUAGGAAUCCCAAUAACAGGAAUUGGUUAGACAGUUGGAAAAGGGCUGGGGCACUUUAUGCUACUCCUGCUGGUUCAAAUGAUGACUGUUUAAGCAAAUCGCUCCCUGCUUUCUCAAUUCCAUGCUGAAGUUGCACCACCUGAUGCUAUUGGUGUUCUAAAGUUGGGUUUUGCUUAUUGAGGGCUUUAAUUGGACUUAGUUUGGCUAAUUACACGUACAAAUUAGGAUUUCAAAUGAUGUGAUGCAGUUGUGCUGACUUUUAAUUAUCUUUCUAAGACUUGCCAUGGACUGAUAGUAGAACUCAGGUUAGUUGAAGAUGGAAAGGGAAAGGAAAAAAAAAGGUCCAUUGUACAAAAAGAAAAUAUGAGGGUCUUCAGUUAGCACCAGUUGAAGACUUGCUGAGGUCUACUGAUUGAAUUGAAGCCAAAGUAAAAUUGUAUUGGUUAUAUGCUGCUGUUAGUUGCAAGUGUUUGCUGGUUACAAAUGAUGAAAUGAGGGACCACUUGUUCCAGUUAUUAGGGACAUCCUUUUUUCCAAGGUGGAAGGAAAAGCAUCAGGUUCGGUUAUCUAUGACGAGGCUUGGUCUUUCGCUUCACAUGCCGCCUCCAUAUUCUAUUGUUAUUCAGG